rnacentral:rRNA from 1 species
UACGAAGGGUGCAAGCGUUACUCGGAAUUACUGGGCGUAAAGCGUGCGUAGGUGGUUCGUUAAGUCUGAUGUGGAAGCCCUGGGCUCAACCUGGGAAUUGCACUGGAUACUGGCGGGCUAGAGUGCGGUAGAGGAUGGCGGAAUUCCUGGUGUAGCAGUGAAAUGCGUAGAGAUCAGGAGGAACAUCCGUGGCGAAGGCGGCCAUCUGGACCAGCACUGACACUGAGGCACGAAAGCGUGGGGAGCAAACAGGAUUAGAUACCCUGGUAGUCCACGCCCUAAACGAUGCGAACUGGAUGUUGGGUUCAACUAGGAACUCAGUAUCGAAGCUAACGCGUUAAGUUCGCCGCCUGGGGAGUACGGUCGCAAGACUGAA